rnacentral:lncRNA from 1 species
GCCCACUUCAGUCUCUCAGUACUUGACACAUUCCUCCUUUUGAAAGGAUUGAGACGGAUGGAAAGAUUUGGUAUGAAGAUAGGAAAGAUGGAAAAUCAGGAAUAACAAUUGAGGAGUUCCGGAGAAGGGGAACAGAGUUACUGUGGGAAACCAACAAGUCAUUUCAAAGUGAUUAUGCUCAUUGGAGCAAAGGUAGAAAAUGCCAUGAAAAGAAGAAGGUUGCAUUCAUGCUUCUCUUUUGUUUUUCCCUGUCUCAUCACUCAGCUACGUGGUGAUCAACUCAGACUCUGACGAUGAAUACCUCUGUGAGCAAAAGAGAGCUAAGAUAGCUGAAAUACAUUGCAAAGAUGAGAUUCUGGAAGUGUCUGAUACCGAUGAGCAGCCGCCCCAGGGGUCUCCAAUACUUAUCACUGAUGAUGAUGAUGAUGAUCAUAAUGGCUUGGAGGGCCCUGUGCUAAUAGAAGAUGAUUCGUGUGACGAGGACCAAGCUCCCUCAAAUGAGAUAAAGAAGAAUGAGUUUGCUAUCUCCCUACACCAACCAUCUUAUGAUGUUGGUAAGCAGGAUCUUGGGGAAGAUGUCUGCCAGCCACCAAGUGAUGAGCCUAAGGCUGAGCUAGAGAUUUCAGUUGGAAAGUUGUCAAGUGAUGAAGAGCCUGUACGUUUGGUGGCAAAACCAAGGAAAAGGAAAAAUAAAACCAGACACAUACCUGUGACACCUGUUGUUAAAAGAGCAAAGAAGUAUGGGACUUUAAAGAAGAAACCCGGAGCAGCAAAAUU